GUAUAAUUCAUGCUGCAGUCUCUUCCCUUUCCCAUCUUCAACAGGCUAUCCACUAGCUUAGUCUUGUCUCCACCAUGACACACCCUUCAGUGAUCACUCGGUGUUCUCUGACAUGACCUUACAUCUGUCCUCCCUAUGAAGAUCCUUCCCAUGAAGACCUACUGGAUAAUCUAGGGUGUUCCUCCACCUCGCAUACACCUCUGUGAUUUUGAUCCCAUCCUCUCCAGAAUCUCACCUCACAGACUACUGUCCAGACCAACAGCACAGCGCUACCUGCAAGUCUGUCAAAACGCUGCAACGCAGGCCCUCACCCAGGACUGUGGGAUCAGAAGCUACUUUAAAUUAGAUCUUAAAGUCUUCUGAAAGGCACUCAACUAGACUCCUUCGGUAUAACUGGUUUAUUCCACUACUUGGAACUUUAACCCUUUACUAUCCAUUUCUACUUUCCUCAAGCAAUAACUCUAAGUCUUUAAAGUAAAGCAAAACAAAAUGA